UACGUAGGUCCCGAGCGUUGUCCGGAUUUAUUGGGCGUAAAGCGAGCGCAGGUGGUUUAAUAAGUCUGAUGUAAAAGGCAGUGGCUCAACCAUUGUAUGCAUUGGAAACUGGUAGACUUGAGUGCAGGAGAGGAGAGUGGAAUUCCAUGUGUAGCGGUGAAAUGCGUAGAUAUAUGGAGGAACACCGGUGGCGAAAGCGGCUCUCUGGCCUGUAACUGACACUGAGGCUCGAAAGCGUGGGGAGCAAACAGG
rnacentral:rRNA from 1 species